GGAUGCGAGCGUUAUCCGGAUUUAUUGGGUUUAAAGGGUGCGUAGGCGGUCCGUUAAGUCAGCGGUAAAAUUGCGGGGCUCAACCCCGUCGAGCCGUUGAAACUGGCGUUCUUGAGUGGGCGAGAAGUGUGCGGAAUGCGUGGUGUAGCGGUGAAAUGCAUAGAUAUCACGCAGAACUCCGAUUGCGAAGGCAGCAUACCGGCGCCCUACUGACGCUGAGGCACGAAAGCGUGGGUAUCGAAC
rnacentral:rRNA from 1 species